rnacentral:lncRNA from 1 species
CCCUUCUAAAGUCCCUAAACUUAACCAUUUUCAACCAACCAAGUCGCCUAACAAAACCACAAUCCAAAACAUAAUCCUCUUCUAAAGUCCCUAAACUUAACCAUUUUCGAGCAUCUAAGUGUCAAAACAAAACCACAUUCCAAAACAAAAAUUCAUUUUAAAGUCCCUAAACUUAACCAUUUUCAACCAACCAAGUCACCUAACAAAACCACAUUCCAAAACAAAAUCUCCUUCUAAAGUCCCUUAACUAUUUUCGAGCAUCUAAGUGUCAAAACAAAACCACAUUCCAAAACAAAAAUCCCUUCUAAAGUCCACAAACUUAACCAUUUUCGAGCAUUUAAGUGUCAAAAUAAAACCACAUUCCAAAAUAAAAAUCUAUUUUAAAGUCCCUAAACUUAACUAUUUUCGGACAAGUAAGUGUCAAAACAAAACAACAUUCCAAAACAAAAAUCCCUUCUAUAGUCCACAAACUUAACCAUUUUCGAGCAUCUAAGUGUCAAAACAAAACCACAUUCCAAAAUAAAAAUCCAUUUUAAAGUCCCUAAACUUAACCAUUUUCAACCAACCAAGUCACCUAACCAAACCACAUUCCAAAACAAAAAUCACUUCUAAAGUCCGUAAACUUAACCAUUUUCGAGAAUCAAAGUGUCAAAACAAAACCACAUUCAAAAAUAAAAAUCCCUUUUAAAGUCCCUAAACUUAACCAUUUCCAACCAACCAAGUCACCUAACAAAACCACAUUCCAAAAUAAAAAUCUCUUCUAAAGUUCUUAAACUUAACCAUUUUCGAGCAUCUAAGCGUCAAAAUAAAACCACAUUCCAAAACAAAAAUCCCUUUUAAAGUCCCUUAACUUAACCAUUUUCAACCAACCAAGUCACCCAACAAAACCACAUUCCAAAAUAAAAAUCUCCUCUAAAGUCCAUAAACUUAACCAUUUCCGAGCAUCUAAGUGUCAAAACAAAACCACAUUCCAAAACAAAAAUCCCUUCUAAAGUUCACAAAUUGAACCAUUUUCGAGCAUCUAAGUGUCAAAACGAAACAACAUUCCAUAUCAAAAAUCUCUUUUAUAGACCCUAAACCUAACACUUUUUAACCAAGUGUCAAAACAAAACCACAUUCCAAAACAAAAAUCCCUUCUAAAGUCCCUAAACUUAACAAUUUUCAACCAACCAAGUCACCUAACAAAACCACAUUCCAAAACAAAAUACCCUUCAAAAGUCCCUAAACUUAACCAUUUUGGAGCAUCUCUGUGUCAAAACAAAAUUUCAUUACAAAAAAAAAUCCCUUCUAAAGUCCGUAAACUUAACCAUUUUCGAGCAUCUAAGUGUCAAAAUAAAAUCACAUUUCAGAACAAAAAUCUCUUUUAAAGUCUCUAAACCUAACACUUUUUAUCCAAGUGUCAAAACAAAACCACAUUCCAAAACAAAAAUCCCUUCUAAAGUCCCUAAACUUAACCAUUUUCAACCAACCAAGUCACCUAACAAAACCCUAUUCCAAAACAUAAUCCCCUUCUAAAGUCCCUAAACUUAACCAUUUUCGAGCAUCUAAGUGUCAAAACAAAACCACAUUCCAAAACAAAAAAUUAUUUUAAAGUCCCUAAACUUAACCAUUUUCAACCAACCAAGUCACCUAACAAAACCCUAUUCCAAAACAUAAUCCCCUUCUAAAGUCCCUAAACUUAACCAUUUUCGAGCAUCUAAGUGUCAAAACAAAACCACAUUCCAAAAAGAAAUCCCUUCUAAAGUCCGUACACUUAACCAUUAUCGAGCAUCCAAGUGUCAAAACAAAAUCACAUUCCAAAACAAAAAUCUCUUUUAAAGUCCCUAAACCUAACACUUUUUUUCCAAGUAUCAUAACAAAAGCACAUUUCCAAACAAAAAUCCCUUCUAAAGUCCCUAAACUUAACCAUUUUCAACCAACCAAGUCACCAAACAAAACCACAUUCCAAAACAUAAUGCCUUUCUAAAGUCCCUAAACUUAACCAUUUUCGAGCAUCUAAGUGUCAAAAGAAAAUCACAUUCCAAAACAAAAAUCCAUUUUAAAAUUCCUAAACUUAACCAUUUUCUACCAACCAAGUCACCUAACAAAACCACAUUCCAAAACAAAAUCUCCUUCUAAAGUCCCUAAACUUAACCAUUUUCGAGCAUCUAUGUGUCAAAACAAAACCACAUUCUAAAACCAAAAUCCAUUUUAAAGUUCCUAAACUUAACCAUUUUCAACCGACCAAGUCACCUAACAAAAUCACAUUCCAAAACAAAAUCCCCUUCUAAAAUCCCUAAACUUAACCAUUUUCGAGCAUCUAAGUAUCAAAACAAAACCACAUUCCAAAACAAAAAUCCAUUUUAAAAUCCCUAAACUUAACUAUUUUCAACCAACUAAGUCGCCUAACAAAACCACAUUACAAAACAAAAUCCCCUUCUAAAGUCCCUAAACUUAACCAUUUUCAAGCAUCUAAGUGUCAAAACGAAACCACAUUCCGAAAUAAAAAUCCAUUUUAAAGUCCCCUAAACUUAACCAUUUUCAAUCAACCACGUCACCUAACAAAACCACAUUCCAAAACAAAAUCCCCUUCUAAAGUCCCUAAACUUAACCAUUUUCGAGCAUCUAAGUGUCAAAACAAAAUCACAUUCCAAAACAAAAAUCCCUUUUAAAGUCCCUAAACUUAACCAUUUUCAACCAACCAAGUCACCUAAAAAAACCACAUUCCAAAAUAAAAAUCUCUUUUAAAGUUCCUAAACUUAAUCAUUUUUGAGCAUCUAAGUGUCAAAACAAAACCACAUUAUAUUCUAAAACAAAAAUCCCUUAUAAAGUCCCUAAACUUAACCAUUCUCAACCAAUCAAGUCACCUAACAAAACCACAUUCCAAAACAAAAUCUCCUUCUAAAGUCACAUUAAGCAAGUAAAUCGCCGGUGAAGUCACUAGACUUAACCAUUUACGAGUAACUAAUCCGCCAAACAAGUCACAUUCCAAACAAAAAAAUCACUUAUAAAGUCCCUAAACUAAACCAUGUUCAAAUGACAAAGUCGCCAAACAAACUACAUUCUAAAUAAAAAAAUCACGUAUAAAGUCCCUAGACUUAACCAU